CCUACGGGAGGCUGCAGUGGGGAAUAUUGGACAAUGGGCGAAAGCCUGAUCCAGCCAUGCCGCGUGUGUGAAGAAGGCCUUCGGGUUGUAAAGCACUUUCAGUGGGGAAGAAAGCCUUGGGGCUAAUACCCUCGAGGAAGGACAUCACCCACAGAAGAAGCACCGGCUAACUCCGUGCCAGCAGCCGCGGUAAUACGGAGGGUGCGAGCGUUAAUCGGAAUUACUGGGCGUAAAGCGCGCGUAGGCGGUCUGAUAAGCCGGUUGUGAAAGCCCCGGGCUCAACCUGGGAACGGCAUCCGGAACUGUUAGGCUAGAGUGCAGGAGAGGAAGGUAGAAUUCCCGGUGUAGCGGUGAAAUGCGUAGAGAUCGGGAGGAAUACCAGUGGCGAAGGCGGCCUUCUGGACUGACACUGACGCUGAGGUGCGAAAGCGUGGGUAGCAAACAGGAUUAGAUACCCCGGUAGUC
rnacentral:rRNA from 1 species